rnacentral:lncRNA from 1 species
CACAACACUCAAUUAUCAAUUAUUUCUGCUCACCGUCUUUUUUACACUUGUGCACUCUUUCUCUUACUUUCACAUACACGUGCCCCCCCCCCCCCCUCUCUCAAUUAUCUCCACUCACUAUCUUUCACACACACGUGCACUCUCGCUCUCUCUCCCCCUCGCUCCCUCACAUUCAUUAACUUACACAGCCAACACACGUGUGUGUGCGUGUGUCUAUAUAUAUAUAUGGGUGAGCGAAUUCAAACAUUUGAUUGGUAAAUGACUUAGAUUCAUCAAAUAAAGGCCUUAGAAUCAUACCAUAAAAACAAAAUCCCAAAUGAAGAAUCAAUUGUCCAGGUUUUCUCAAAAUCCAGGCAACUUCAUGACAGCUUCAGUUUUUCUGAAAGUUCAGUGCAGGCAACGGCCUACAUUGGACUCCAUGCAGCUCCGCCCCUGCUAACAAUAGUAGACUAAUCAUAAAAUUCUAAGUUAUCUACUAUACUGUUAUUCGCUAAAUGAAAACCAGUGUGAUGGAUAAAAGUAAACAUGUCUUCAAGCAAGAACAAAAUUUAAUGGUUUUGAAAAAAAGAAAAAGAACACCCACAUAUUAACAGAAAAGAAUAUAUAAUGGUAGAAAAAAUUGCACUGCUAUUACUAAAAUCAUAUCAGAAUUUCAAAUUCUUCCGAACUCCAUCGCUUUAGAUAUGAAACUUCAAGUAUGUAAAGAUUCUUAGGAUGUUAGAAAUUUUUCAACAAGUAACAUCAAAAUCGAAAUGUAGCUUAACCAAAGCAAACAUGAAAUCCAAAAACAGUAGAAUAAAAGGUGGAAGGAGAGAGAGAAAGAGAGAGCCCUAUUUAAUUUAAGAGUAAUGCUUAGUCUCACUGAAAUUAAAAUCUCAG